rnacentral:rRNA from 1 species
GAUGAACGCUGGCGGCGUGCUUAACACAUGCAAGUCGAACGAGAAGUGAAGACGGAAACCUUCGGGCGGAAGGCUUUACUUCGAGUGGCGGACGGGUGAGUAACGCGUGGGUAACCUGCCUCAUACAGGGGGAUAACAGUUGGAAACGACUGUUAAUACCGCAUAAGACCACAGCACCGCAUGAUGCGGGGGUAAAAACUCCGGUGGUAUGAGAUGGACCCGCGUUCGAUUAGCCAGUUGGCGGGGUAACGGCCCACCAAAGCGACGAUCGAUAGCCGAUCUGAGAGGAUGACCGGCCACAUUGGGACUGAGACACGGCCCAAACUCCUACGGGAGGCAGCAGUGGGGAAUAUUGCACAAUGGGGGAAACCCUGAUGCAGCGACGCCGCGUGAGUGAAGAAGUAUUUCGGUAUGUAAAGCUCUAUCAGCAGGGAAGAAAAUGACGGUACCUGAGUAAGAAGCCCCGGCUAACUACGUG